rnacentral:rRNA from 1 species
CGUAGGUGGCAAGCGUUGUCCGGAUUUAUUGGGUUUAAAGGGUGCGUAGGCGGCUUUGUAAGUCAGUGGUGAAAUACUCCAGCUCAACUGGAGAGGUGCCAUUGAUACUGCAGAGCUAGAGUACUGAUGAGGUAGGCGGAAUGGACGGUGUAGCGGUGAAAUGCUUAGAUAUCGUCCAGAACACCGAUAGCGAAGGCAGCUUACUAAAGAGUAACUGACGCUGAGGCACGAAAGUGUGGGGAUCAAACAGGAUUAGAUACCCUGGUAGUCCACACUGUAAACGUUGAUCACUAGAUGUUGGCGAUACACUGCCAGCGUUCCAGCAAAAGCGUUAAGUGAUCCACCUGGGAGUACGCCCGCAAGGGUG